GAUGAAGAACGCAGCGAAAUGCGAUAAGUAAUGCGAAUUGCAGAAUUUCCGUGAGUCAUCGAAUCUUUGAACGCACAUUGCGCCCGCCAGUAUUCUGGCGGGCAUGCCUGUUCGAGCGUCAUUUCAACCAUCAAGCCCCCGGCUUGUGUUGGGGACCUGCGGCUGCCGCAGGCCCUGAAAAGCAGUGGCGGGCUCGCUGUCACACCGAGCGUAGUAGCAUACAUCUCGCUCUGGGCGUGCUGCGGGUUCCGGCCGUAAAACCACCUUCAUAACCCAAGGUUGACCUCGGAUCAGGUAGGAAGACCCGCUGAACUUAAGCAUAUCAAUAAGCGGAGGA
rnacentral:misc_RNA from 1 species